UUUUGUAUAAUGGGUCAGCGACUUAUAUUCUGUAGCAAGGUUAACCGUAUAGGGGAGCCGAAGGGAAACCGAGUCUUAACCGGGCGUUAAGUUGCAGGGUAUAGACCCGAAACCCGGUGAUCUAGCCAUGGGCAGGUUGAAGGUUGGGUAACACUAACUGGAGGACCGAACCGACUAAUGUUGAAAAAUUAGCGGAUGACCUGUGGCUGGGGGUGAAAGGCCAAUCAAACCGGGAGAUAGCUGGUUCUCCCCGAAAGCUAUUUAGGUAGCGCCUCGUGAAUUCAUCUCCGGGGGUAGAGCACUGUUUCGGCUAGGGGGCCAUCCCGGCUUACCAACCCGAUGCAAACUGCGAAUACCGGAGAAUGUUAUCACGGGAGACACACGGCGGGUGCUAACGUCCGUCGUGAAGAGGGAAACAACCCAGACCGCCAGCUAAGGUCCCAAAGUCAUGGUUAAGUGGGAAACGAUGUGGGAAGGCCCAGACAGCCAGGAUGUUGGCUUAGAAGCAGCCAUCAUUUAAAGAAAGCGUAAUAGCUCACUGGUCGAGUCGGCCUGCGCGGAAGAUGUAACGGGGCUAAACCAU
rnacentral:rRNA from 2 species